rfam:Myotis brandtii contig251742, whole genome shotgun sequence.
GGUGGUUCUCAGGUGACACACCCCAGAAUCGGCCUCUUCUCUGUUUCCAGGUGCAUCACCCGAGAACCACA